UGCAGGAUAAGCUGAGGGAGACAGAGAUGGUAAUGGAGAGGAUUGUCUAAAGCCAGCUGCAGGAUAAGCUGGAGGGAGACAGAGAUGGUAAUGGAGAGGAUUGUCUAAAGCCAGCUGCAGGAUAAGCGGAGGGAGACAGAGAUGGUAAUGGAGAGGAUUGUCUAAAGCCAGCUGCAGGAUAAGCUGAGGGAGACAGAGAUGGUAAUGGAGAGGAUUGUCUAAAGCCAGCUGCAGGAUAAGCUGAGGGAGACAGAGAUGGUAAUGGAGAGGAUUGUCUAAAGCCAGCUGCAGCUCUAAAAGGGUGACAUGGGGAGUGCCGACCAAGAGGAGAGACUGCUUCUCCAGCUGAGAGAGAUCACACGGGUGAUGCAGGAGGGCCGCCAGGCGGAGGGGGUCACCCCACCAGAGAUGGGGGCCCAACACUGGGAAGCUAUUGUUAUAUGGGGAUACUUCUUUUGUGCUUAUUUAAUGGUUGUCACACCACGGUGGCACUUAUUGCUUAUAUGGCAUCAUUAAAGACUUGUCUGAAUAUGUCAUCCACAAUCAACAAUAUGGGAACUCACUCUACAUACUUAGAUGAAGUUGUGUGGAAAAAGGAAUGGGGUGGUGAAAUAAUUUGUCAUGGACAAAGGAUCUCAAAGGGUGUGAUGAUAUUAAUUAACAAAGAUUUUGAUCUGAAUCUGCAAAUAGUCAGGAAUGAUUCGCAAGGAAGGUGGAUCCUUUUGAAUAAGAAAGUGGACGAAAAAGAGAUUUGACUCACUAAUCUAUAUGGUCCAAAUCAGGAUGAUCCACACUUCUUCGAAAACAUUUAUACCAAUUUAUUGAACUUACAGACAACAAAUGAUCUAAUCAUUAUGGUAGGAGACUAUAACACAGUGUUAAGUACCUCAAUGGACCGUAAAGGUAAUCACUCCACAAACAAUCAUCACCGUGCCCUUAAGGAAAUCACAAAUAUUAUGGACACAUUAGAAAUAGUGGA